rnacentral:lncRNA from 1 species
GGGGGCUCUUUACUAUUCAUGGCGUUCACUGAUGUAUAUAUAUAUAUAUGUAAGUACCUUUGACUUUUGAUACCUCUCCUGAAAUUCUCUGUAUAGUAAUUAAAGUAUAUAUGCAUGUUCAUAGAGUACAGAAAAACAGAAGGUAUAAAAAUCGGUAUUUGGAAAAUAGGGGGAGGGCAAAAAAAUGGGUCAAGUCCCUAAGUACCUUCGACUUUUGAUACCUCUCCUGAAAUUCUCUGUAUAGUAAUUAAAGUAUAUAUGCAUGUUCAUAGAGUACAGAAAAACAGAAGGUAUAAAAAUCGGUAUUUGGAAAAUAGGGGGAGGGCAAAAAAUGUGCCCAGUCCCUAAGUACCUUUGACUUUUGAUAUCUCUCCUGAAAUUCUC